UCUGAGGGCAUUGUGCUUCUCACACGCUAAUGCAAAUAUCAAAGAUAUUUCGUAUUAGAUAUCUGAUUCUGUGUUCAGAUACUUGUGUGAAAGUACUUAGCAGGAAGGUAGAUUGUGGUUAUAGCAUAGGCUUGUCUUAGUACCUUUAUGGAACAGGGAUUCACAACUGUUGUUUUGGGAGGCAAUAUUACCGAAGAUCUAAUAUUUAAUUGUGUGCUGUAUUUGGUAUGUGGUUGUUCUUCUCUUUAUAUCCGAUUUGGGGUAUUGGAAGAUCCUCCUUAAUUUGUGGUACAUAACUCUUUAUAGACAUGCAAUUAGUGGUGACAUGCCUUCGUAUAGAUCGAUAACUGUUUACAGAGUUUUAUCAAUAGAUGAGCAUUAGAUUAUGUUCCUCCUCUAUAAGUAAAUUAUUGAGGUCGACAUCUUUCUCCCUUACAGCGGCGUAUAAUGUUUAUCGGUUUUGCCGUUUAAUAGGAAGAAUUAAUAUCAACUCUGUUGUGGUACAUAACUCUUUAUGUCUAGUAAUACGGUGUUUGUGAGUAUUGUAUUUGGGCCGAAAGGUUCGUAGUCUUUUAGUCAUUCUCGUCCUCUAACUAUCAUUCUUUGGCUGUUAACUCGACUUCACCUAUACUGUUUAACAAACACAUUGUCUGUUGUAGUAUGGAUAGCAGAUCGACAAUUCCUCAAUGCAUUGCUGUGUCUAUAGGUUUUUAAUGUAGACAACUCAUUAGUUGCUUAAUUGGCUACUUCACGAUGUUGUAACUGGUGUAAGCAAUCCUGCCUUAGUCUCUAUAAAUCGGUUAGUUGUUUUUGACCUACUGUUGUAAGAAGUAGAGACCCUGUAAUCUGACCUCAUAUGAGCUUUCUUUGGACAAGAGGGUCGUAACGAAACCGACCGUUGUUAUUGUGGCACGUUAUCCUGAAUGUAAUACUCGUACUCGUUAAGAUUAUUAUUGGUUCCAUUCUUAUAGGAUCUUGUGUACUAUAUGUUUAACACUUCGAAUUUAUUUCCGCACGAAUCAGAUCUUCAGGGCUAACAGAACUUUACUAGUGUGCAUCCUGUGUUCUAGAUAACGUUACUCCGUAGUUGGAUCGUCAUCCUAGAUGAUACUUCUUCUAGGCGUAUACUGUUCGUAUCUAUUUGACUUUCUCUGAGUUAAGGCAGCCGUAAGUCAUGCCGGUCCCUACCUUCAAUGGUUGAUGUUUUUAUCGUUUCUGAAGCUGAAACGAAAGUGCAGCUUCAAUG
rnacentral:rRNA from 1 species